UAUUCUUUAACCCCAUGGGAGUAUGGACCCAGGGUCACCAUGGGAUGCAGAAGGUGGGAGGUCUGGCUUCUGUAAUUGCUUUCCCGCUAAACGUGGGCGAUAAAUAAAGAUUUUAAAAAUUAAAAAAAAAAUUGAAAAAGCCUGUAAAGUGAACAGAUGCGCUGCCCGAGUCCUGCCAUUGCAGGUUGAAUAUUAGCGGUGGGGACCACAGCCUGGGUAUGACUUCUGAAAACACGUGACUUGGUCACCUGCCUCCCUCUUCUACCCCCACUACUGGGGGCUGACAUGACCCUUGCCUGGAAGGCUGAACAUUUUAACACUUAAUAAGAGCAGCACAAAGUGCGAAAAUAGAGAAGACCACUCCAAUGGCGUUACGCCAGGCUCCCCAACUAUGUAUGCCGGCAGGGCUCAGAUGCUGGCAAAAACACCGCCCCCAGCAACGCGUGACAGCCUAAGCUCAGUGACUUCGGCUCCGAACUACAACUCCCGGCAUGCAUUUCAACACAAGCUACUCGCCAGAAGGCGGGCCCAGGAGAAAGGAAGUCCGCGCUGCCCGUCCCGCGGUUUCUCACAGUCCCUUCCGCUGUGACCUUUCCCUAACCCCAACUGGGUAUUUAUUGGGGCUUCGGGACUGUGACCCCCUCAGCAACAGAGCCACUCUCUUGCCAAGACGCGACCAACAGAGCAACCAGACGGACUUUCCGUCAGGCUUUCGCGCCCGGCGCCUAAUGAAUGACGACACGAAGGGGGUGGGCGUUCUGGCUCCGGAGGACCCCUGGUCGACCCGGAAGCGGCCGGGGCAGGGCGGUGCAGGCAGUGGUCUCCGUGAUGCCUGCAGGGCUGGGCGGCUGACGUCCGCGCGAGGAGCGGGCCCAGUGCCCGGAAUCUCGGCGGCUGCCACUGCUCGAGCUCGGCCUGAGCCAUGGCCACCUCCGCCGCCUCCUCGGAGCAUUUUGAGAAGCUGCAUGAGAUCUUUCGCGGCCUCCAUGAAGACCUACGAGGGGUUCCGGACCGGCUCCUGGGCAUGGCAGGAACCGCCACCAGGUUCCAGAUGCUAGCAUGAUGCCAACCAGACUUCCCUGGACAGACAACCCCACCAAUGGGUCCUGGAGCUCCGGUUCCCCAGAACCCCGCUCCACUAGGAGAGAGAGAGGCAGGCUGGGAGUAUGGAUCGUCCUGUCAACAUCCAUGUUCAGCGGGGAAGCAAUUACAGAAGCCAGACCUUCCACCUUCUGCAUCCCACAAUGACCUUGGGUCCGUACUCCCAGAGGGUUAAAGAAUAGGAAAGAAGAGAAGAAAAAGCUGAUUAAUGAUUUUGAUGAAAAGCAACAGGAAGCAAAUGAAACG